GAUCAAGAAUGAGAAGUCACUUGGAUAUCUACUCACUCGUUAAUAACCAUCUUGAUGCUGUAGUUGUGUGAGUAGUUCUUUGAUCUAUAGUACCUCGGUUGCUCACAGUGAGGUUGCUAUAGUUUGACAAUAUAUGAACAUGAUCCCUAGUAAUUUGGAGUCUUAUAGUAUUCAUUGACUGUAGUAGGUUCGCUGUAGCAGUAGGUGUGCACUUACAGGAGAUCUAUCGGCCUUAGUAGUUGAGGAGUAGUCCUAUGCGACCUACGAGACUGAGUCUUUAAGUUUGUGGCCACAGUAGUGUGAUAAUGAAAAAAAAAUUUCAUGAGAUUCAUGAUUAGAAUCAAGCUAAUUAAGUCUUGCAUAUGUUGGAUGCUUAGGGUUUGACAAGUUUUCAUGAUCUGUAUCCUGUCGGAACUCUCGAUA
rnacentral:lncRNA from 1 species